rnacentral:rRNA from 1 species
GACGAACGCUGGCGGCGUGCUUAACACAUGCCAGUCGAACGAUGAAGUCUAGCUUGCUCGGUGGAUUAGUGGCGAACGGGUGAGUAAUACGUGAGUAACCUACCUUUAACUCUGGGAUAAGCCUGGGAAACUGGGUCUAAUACCGGAUACGACCAAUCUCCGCAUGGGGUGUUGGUGGAAAGCGUUAUGUAGUGGUUAUAGAUGGGCUCACGGCCUAUCAGCUUGUUGGUGAGGUAACGGCUCACCAAGGCGACGACGGGUAGCCGGCCUGAGAGGGUGACCGGCCACACUGGGACUGAGACACGGCCCAGACUCCUACGGGAGGCAGCAGUGGGGAAUAUUGCACAAUGGGCGCAAGCCUGAUGCAGCGACGCCGCGUGAGGGAUGACGGCCUUCGGGUUGUAAACCUCUGUUAGCAGGGAAGAAGAGAAAUUGACGGUACCUGCAGAGAAAGCGCCGGCUAACUACGUG